CACACACACACACACACAGAGCCUUUAUGUUUUGAUAAGCCUAAAACAGCUCAAAGGCUGGGCCACUUGCUAACCUCCACAUGGCUAAUCCACCUCCCUCCAUUAUUCCCAAGUUAUUAUUUCCUAAGUCCUAUACUCCAUCGUGGCUGCUGUUGGGCUGUCCUUCCUACAUGGUGGCUAUGCUGUCUGUCCUGCACCUUCUCAGGCAUCGGCGUCUUCCCUCUUCCACCUCUUCUGGCAUUGCUGACCUCCUUCCUCUCUACGUUGGUCCUAAAGGUCCCACCUCUGUCUGCCUUGCCCAGCCAUUGGCUGCUGCAAGUUUAUUUGAGGGAGUGAGGAUGAUUAUAGGAAAGACAGAAGACUCAGAGACAAAAGUUAGAAUUGGGAGGGCUACGGGUCAAUACCACAUCAGCCUCAAGUUUGCUUUUCUUGGCCUUUUUAUACUUCACAGUGCCAUGGGAGACAAAGUCACAAGCUAGCAGAAACGACUGCCAUUUACACAGGAUAUCCGUUCCCAUCAGGAGGCCUUUCUCUUCCUUCCACCAAGAUUAAUAGAACAUUCAGCCCCUUGCCUUGACCCUCAAAUGUAUUCUCUCAUCGUUCAAUGCAUCAGCAGGCCAGGAAAUCUGCCGGCAGACCCUGACCUGCCUUGACGCUGCCAGGCAAGCAGGCUGUCGCAGAGGCAGACGAAACGGCUCCUGACGCUCUCUGUAACCUAAUCUCUCAGCAAAUCAUGUUUGAUAAUUUAAGCUCUGGUGAGGAGUCUAGCUUAUGACCUUGUCUUUGAGCACACGGGAGGAAGGUAGAUACACCCUUGGCUACAGCCCCCACACUGCAAGCAGAAGCCAGUGCCUGCCGUAGCCCUCACCUUCUGCUGUGUAGGCCCUGGGGACUGUUAGUAAUAGUGUUCAGUUGUGGCUCUGAAGCACUAGGCCUUGCUUCUGAGUUCUCAGAAGAACCUCUAAGUACAACAGAAGUGCUCUUAAUUAACUCCACUUCUGAUUCCUCGGAGCCUCGAGUCUCCAGCAGUCUUGGGAGCCACCUGCUGCAAUCCGGCAUGUGGCCGCUGCCUUGCGUCUCCACUCCUGGUGCCAACAGGCCCCUGAGGCAGCCCACUCAAGGUGUCCGGGUGCACCUUCUGCUGCUGAUGGUGAGCUUGGAGUCCCAACCACAAGAGGACCAGGGGUGUGGCUUGAGUGUUUACCUGGCAUUGCACAAACCCUAGGCUUCACCCCCGGCACUGCAGCAGACAGAAAAAGGAAUAAUCUAGCAAAAGUUAAAAUCAAAUGCUUUGAUAAGGUGGGUUGCUCCUGUCUGCAAGGACAGUUCGGUGGUUAAGUGCGUGUGUCACCUUUAUAGCUUGGUUCUCAGAACGAUGUCUGUCAGCACACAGCUGCCUACAACUCUGGUUCCACUCAGCGCCCACUCGACGCCUUCUUACACUGUCAAAUAAGUAAAAGUAAAAGGAAGACCUUUAUUUUUAAAUAAAAACGCGGUCAGAAAGUUUAAUAGACAUUGAGGGGUUUAAAAUGAAGGAGAUGAAUGAGCUUAAAUCCCUUCGUAGAAUUACCCUACGUGCUCACCCCACCUUUUCAACACCUGAGCUGGAAGCGGGGCAGGUGGCUCGGAGGUAGAGAGCCGGGCCGUUACCGGGUAGGGGCAUUGCCUGUUUGUGGCCUCUGUUGGAAAAAACCUUAAAAAGAGCGUUUGUAAUUUGCUGAAUUGUGUGGAGAUUCUAUACUAAAUAAAGCUCUUUUCAAUAAUC
rnacentral:lncRNA from 1 species